rnacentral:rRNA from 1 species
UGGGGGAUAUUGCACAAUGGGCGAAAGCCUGAUGCAGCGACGCCGCGUGGGGGAUGAAGGCUUUCGGGUUGUAAACCUCUUUCGCUAUCGAACAAGGCCCGCUUAGGGUGGGUUGAGGGUAGGUGGAGAAGAAGCGCCGGCUAACUACGUGCCAGCAGCCGCGGUAAUACGUAGGGCGCGAGCGUUGUCCGGAAUUAUUGGGCGUAAAGGGCUUGUAGGUGGCUUGUUGCGCCUGCUGUGAAAACGCGGGGCUUAACUUCGCGCGUGCAGUGGGUACGGGCAGGGUUGCGUGUGGUAGGGGUGACUGGAAUUCCAGGUGUAGCGGUGGAAUGCGCAGAUAUCUGGAGGAACGCCGAUGGCGAAGGCAGGUCACUGGGCCAUUACUGACGCUGAGGAGCGAAAGCAUGGGUAGCGAACAGG